UACGGGGGGGGCAAGCGUUGUUCGGAAUUACUGGGCGUAAAGGGCUCGUAGGCGGCCAACUAAGUCCGACGUGAAAUCCCCAGGCUUAACCUGGGAACUGCGUCGGAUACUGGAUGGCUUGAGUUCGGGAGAGGGAUGCGGAAUUCCAGGUGUAGCGGUGAAAUGCGUAGAUAUCUGGAGGAACACCGGUGGCGAAGGCGGCAUCCUGGACCGACACUGACGCUGAUGAGCGAAAGCCAGGGGAG
rnacentral:rRNA from 1 species